UUGGUAUGACGUUGGCGUCGUCGUCGUCGUCCGGCGGCGGCGUCGUCGUCCGAAGACACAUUGGUUUUCGCACUCUAACUUUAGUUUAAGUGAAUGGAUCUCUAUGAAAUUUUACCGUAAGGUUCAAUACCACAAUAGGAAGGUGGGGAUUGAUUUUGGGGGUUAUGGUACCAACAGUUAAGGAAUUAGGGGCCAAAAAGGGGCCGAAAAUAAGCAUUUUUGUAACUUCCAGACAUAACUUGUGUGUUAGCAUAUGGAUCUCUUUGACAUUGUACCACAAGAUUCCAUAUCACAAAGGGUCAAUGCUGGGAUUGAUUUUGGGGUUAAUUGCCUCAAAAUUUUAGGAAUAAGGGGCCAAAAGGGGGCAAAAAACAAGCAUUUUUCUAGUUUCAUGACAAUAACUUGUGUGUAAGUGUAUGGAUCUUUCUGAAAUUUUACUACAAGGUUCCAUUUCACAAAGGGAAAGCUGGAAUUGAGUGUUGUGGUAAUUGCCCAAAACGUUUAGUAAUAAGGGGCCUGAAAAGGGGUUUAAAAUAAGCAUUUUUUAGUUUCUAGACAAUAACUUGUGUUCAAGUGUAUGGAUCUCUCUAAAAUUGUAUUACAAGGUACCAUACCACAAAGACAAGGCUGUUAUUGAGCUUGGUUUGGGGGAAAGGGGGGUGGGGGUGAUGAAUCAUAAGGGGGGCGGGGGUCAAAAAAGGGGUAAUUUUUUUGUUUCCUUUUUUUUUUGUUUAAAAUUUACAUUUUAAGUUAGUUAUUUUUUAUCACGAAGAGAAAGUAGGAAUUGAGUUUUGGGGUUAAUUGCUCAAACAUUUAUGAAUAAGGGGCCAAAUAUUGGUCGAAAAUAAGGAUUUUUUUAGUGUGCUCUAAUGUUUAAGGAAUAAGGGGAAAAAAGGUUAAAAAACAAGGGUUUCCAUUUUAAUAGACAAAUAAUUGAGUAAAGAACAUUAUUUAAAAGCAGUGUAAGGUUGGUAAUUCAAACUCAUUUAAAUAUCUCAUCUACACUGCUUUUAAGUUAUGUAAAUUGGAAAUUUGCCAAUAACUUUAUUGUUAAUAAAUGCAUUGGAAAUUUGCCAACAAUUUUAGUGUAAUAAACUUCAUUGGAAAUUUGCCAAUAUAAAAUUUUGCUGAUGAAGGUUUUUUGUUUACCUUUAGCCUUGACUAUGAAGUCAUUUUCUAUUUUUAUAGCCUUAUGAUGUAGUUGAAUUAUUUAAUACUUUUAUGAUGUGUUUAAAUGGGGUUUUAUCAUGUUUAUGGUUGCAAAUUUAUUGUUUUAGUAUAAUAAACUCCAUUUAAAAUUUGCCAAUAAAAAAAUUUUUUGUUUA